GGUGGCCACUGGAUUUUUAAAGGACUUGAACUCCCUUAUGAAACCCUUGCAGUGGGUCAGCAAAGGUCUUAUCCAAAAAUACUCCGCCGAACUUCUGGCUGCUAACGAGUUCCAUGGUCUGCGGUUCGACUGCCCUGAGAUUCAACUUUCUAACGUUACUUCUAACUUAAACGUCACGUAUAAUGGAGCUUAUUUCUAAGUUAGUGCUACAGCCAUGCAUGGAAAGCGGUGACAUUUUUCUUGACAAGAACUUCCCAGGUAGUGCUGACGUCAUCGCAAGAAACUUUUAUGUCGUUAUCGCUUUUUGUGUAGGUACUUUCUUUGCAGCUGUUGUGUGCUUGGAAAUCAGGGGAAACAGAAACUUGCAUUAGUUUUGUGUUCAUGAGUUAAAUGCAUCAUGAAUGUGUUUAUGAUUUGUUCCAUCUAUUCAUUCAUUUUCUAUUUAUUUAUGAUGGUGAUAUUUAAUGUGCAACUUAUGGUCAUACAUGAACGUUACUAAAUCCAUUCACUGUUAUGGUCCGUUAUUUAUAUCGAGCAAUCCGAUUAGCUACAUCGCUCUUAAAUCCAAAUAAGAUCAGUAUUGACCCCAGGUCUUAUGUUUCUACUUAUGACAUUGCGUCCAGCUCACAUUGUUUUAAGGGACUGUUGUUCAAGUUCAAGGACAUGUGAUUGGAUGUAUUGUAAAAAAAGGACCACCUAGUACCAUGAAAAUAUUUUUGGAAAAAAAUCAAAAUCUCAUGCCGACAUUAUCAUACAUUAUGAUUAUAUGCACAGUAGAGCUAAAUAUUUGUAGAAAAGUAGUGAUCUAAAAAUCAAGUCCAUUGCUGCUUCCCCAGGCAUUCAGAAACGUGCUCAACUUCAUAGU